rnacentral:lncRNA from 1 species
AUUUUGAUAUUAAUUAUUUAUAGAACAACAUAAAAUGUUAUUAAUUUGACAGGUAGCUUGAUAAAAUUGUCAACCUAUAUUUUUUAAAAAGGAUAUGGCCUGGGAUUGUUGGUCUUGCCAAAUAUGAAUAAAUUCAUUCAACAAGCUUUCAUUGCGUAUCUUCCUGUGCAGAUCAGCAAGAUCAGGUUUUACAGCUGAGGACACUUCACAACAUGCUAAACUUACUGCUGGCAUCUACACGACCAAGAGAAAAUGCUGCAGUAGGAGGGUCUUCCCCUGUGGCAUCACCAAAAGGGGAUUGGAAAAGGCAUUGAGAAACUGGAAAAAAUGACAUAUAAUAUGUAUAUCCAGACUGGUAAGGAUGUUUUCCUUUUGUUUUUCCAUAAGAAAACAAAUUUCAGACCAAUGAAAAAACCU